UCGCCAUCACCACUAAAACAUGGAGCCUUCCAGUGCACUCUGGUGACAGAAUCCUGAAACUCCCGAAAUAGCGCUAAACAUUGCGCUCCUACAGCUUUCAGCUUCUCUACCCCUUCAAGCUCAUUCAGGUCACAGCGCUAAACAUUGCGCUCCAACAGCUUUCAGCUUCUCUACCCCUUCAAGCUCAUUCAGGUCAUUGGUUGCUUCAUCUAGACCCGUAAGUGCAUUUUUUAUGGGAAGAAGGUUCUCGUAUAUCCUUAUUGUGCGAUCAUUGGAAUUUGUUAAGAGAUACUGUCCAUUUCUGCUAAACACAAUGUUCUUUAUAACAGCGCUGCCUGGAACAAGAACUAUACCACGCACUUGAACAUUUUUAUGGUCAAUUAUUAGUAUUUCCCCUUUGGAGUUCCCCACAUAAACCAG
rnacentral:lncRNA from 1 species